rnacentral:rRNA from 1 species
UACGCAGGGUGCAAGCGUUACUCGGAAUUACUGGGCGUAAAGCGUGCGUAGGUGGUGAGUUAAGUCUGUCGUGAAAGCCCCGGGCUCAACCUGGGAAUGGCGAUGGAUACUGGCUCGCUAGAGUGCGGUAGAGGAGAGUGGAAUUCCCGGUGUAGCAGUGAAAUGCGUAGAGAUCGGGAGGAACAUCAGUUGCGAAGGCGGCUCUCUGGACCAGCACUGACACUGAGGCACGAAAGCGUGGGGAGCAAACAGG